CAGUGGGGAAUUUUGGACAAUGGGCGCAAGCCUGAUCCAGCAAUGCCGCGUGAGUGAAGAAGGCCUUCGGGUUGUAAAGCUCUUUUGUCAGGGAAGAAACGGGAUUGGAUAAAACCUAGUCCUAAUGACGGUACCUGAAGAAUAAGCACCGGCUAACUACGUGCCAGCAGCCGCGGUAAUACGUAGGGUGCAAGCGUUAAUCGGAAUUACUGGGCGUAAAGCGUGCGCAGGCGGUUUUGUAAGUCUGACGUGAAAGCCCCGGGCUCAACCUGGGAAUUGCGUUGGAGACUGCAAGGCUUGAAUCUGGCAGAGGGGGGUAGAAUUCCACGUGUAGCAGUGAAAUGCGUAGAGAUGUGGAGGAACACCGAUGGCGAAGGCAGCCCCCUGGGUCAAGAUUGACGCUCAUGCACGAAAGCGUGGGGAGCAAACAGGAUUAGA
rnacentral:rRNA from 1 species